GCCCCCCCCCCGUGGAGGGACACGGCGCCUGACGCAUGACGUACGGCUGUAGUGCGCGCCCUUACGCAUGAGAAGUGUUAAGUUCUCCCUUUUGGAGUAGGUUGGGAACGGGGGCGGGGAGGUUGGGGGAGACGAGUUUUGUUUUUUUAAGUGGGACGUGUAGGGGGAAAAGGAAGAAAAGCGGGGCGAAAAGGAAUGUCCUACGGUGGCCGCGGAGGAACGACUACUACGGUUCCCGCACUGGGACAAACGCUUCCCACGGACGGCCUAAGGCUCCCCUUCCCCAGCUGGGCCGACCCUGGUUGGGGCCCAUGAUGGGCAUGCACGGGAGGGGGCCCCCGGCGGCCUCUCCCCGGCCCUGGGGCUGACCCUGUCGGUGACCUUCCGACCUUCCUCCGAGGGCCCGACACCAUGCGGCCUCCUCCCCCCUCGUUCUGCCGCUCCGGCCUCGAGGGACAACAGGGGCCCCAGCUUCGCCGGCCCCCGGUCCUGGCCUCCACCCCGCCGGCCCCCGGCCACAGGCCUCGGGACUGCCACCCCACCGCGGAGGAGGCCGCGCACGGCAUGUGCCUCCCUGGAAGUUCAACAGAGAGUUCACAGGCCUAGGCUCUUCACUUCUGUUCCUUGCCCAUGGAUGAUGCUUAUUAUGCACACAGUCUGUCCUCCUCUAGAACUCAGUGAGCCGUGGGGUACCCAAUGCCUGUAAUUCCCAUACCCCGGCGUGUGCGGUCUUUUCACGGCCCCCAUACCACAUGCCUGCAUUCUGCCUGUGGGCCUGUAAGAACCACUCACUUAGUGCGUACCAAGUACAACAACUUCGACAUCUAUUUGAAGUCCCGAUGGAUGUAUGGAUUUAUUCGCUUCCUGCUGUAUUUCAGCUGCAGCCUGUUUACCUCCAUCCUCUGGGUGGCGCUCUCCAUCCUGUUUUGCCUUCAAUACCUUGGCAUCCGCAUCUUUCUGCGUUUCCAGUACAAGCUGUCCAUCAUUCUCCUACUGCUGGGACGAAGGCGGGUUGAUUUCAGCUUGAUGAAUGAGCUGCUCAUUUAUGGGAUUCAUGUGACUAUGCUGCUGGUGGGAGGUCUGGGCUGGUGUUUCAUGGUCUUUGUGGACAUGUAAAUAGGAGGUGUGCAUGCAGGCUUGGGCAGCUAUGACUACAUCUAAUGUAUCCACUUUCUCCUUUGGUUUAAUUUAUUUAUUUAUGACUGAUAUAUGUAUAUGCAGUAUAUAGAUAUUUUCUUUGGUAAAGGCAAUGUACCUGUCUGAAAUGACAUGACACAGGAGGAAUGUUGGAUCAUUUUUCCUUCUGUUUGUUUCCAAUCCCAAAGAAGGGGGUUUCACCAUACCAAACAAAGAAAGUAGUGCCCUUUUCAGUGGCAGUAUUUUUAUUUGCUCUCUGACCAUCUUACUAUGUUAUGGCAUGGUAAAGAAAAGGGCUGUGACAUUUGUAAAGGAGAAAUUGAAGCUCUUCCCUCCUUCAAUUUGCUUUUUGGCUUUCUGCUUCCCCUCCCCUUGCUCUGCUACAUUGUAUUCUUCCCCUUUCCUCUAUUUUAAUGUAGUUUAUGUUCACAUUUAAUAAAUCUAGUGCUGUAGGGUCCUCUUUAUCAAGUCUGCACUUUCAGGACCUUGAUGAAGCUUCCUCUUCUCCUGACCAGUUACACAUUUUGGGGUAUUCAUUCCUCACAGUUUUGCUCUGUGUACUGGCCAAAAGUGCAAGCCUGGAAGCAGUUUCCCUUCCUUCCCUAUGGGGUAAAUUCCCAUUCUUCCUUAGUGUUCCUAACCCCUACCCUGCCCUUAGGAAAAAGUUAGACUCCACUAUAGUAAUGCAAUGCACUGCCAUUAAGCCACUUGCUUGGCCCUGGGCUUCUAGAAGGUUUGCACAGGUCUAAUGCAAGUUCAUCUUUCUUAAAUCAAACAAAGAGCUACAAUUGAGAAAUGAAAUGAUGAGGUUAAAUGCUAGUCUUAAAACCUGGAGGGAAGUGAUUAAUUUUGUUUGGUUACAACCAGAUUUGGUGUUUCACAGACUUAAGCCCAAUCUGAAAGCAAACUGAAGCAAACAGUGCCAAGAUCUUCAUUCAUGGAGUCUGGUUCUAAUGCCAUAGCUCAUAAGAGCUGUGUUCUCUGGAUCACUGUAAGUUUCAGUGGUGCCAAAUUCAAAAGCAAAGCAAAUAUAGAUCCCUUUGUGCAUCAGUGGCCAGGUCUGUAGAGAAGACAAUAUUACAUUAUAAAAUAUCUUAAUCUAUCUAAAUUAACUUCUCUGGGAAGGCCAAUAAAUGUAGUACUUGCUUUGGAAGGCUUUUGAAUUCUUCAUUAUUUUCUUCAGUAAUCUCCCAGAAUUUGACUUUCUGAAACACUGAAGUUAUAUGAAAUCUUUGGACAAACAACACUGAAGUUAAUUAUUUAGCAUGAAAAUAAAAAUUUUAAUGGUUUAUUUUUAAAAGAAUUUCUUCCAACUUUUAAGGCAUUUGAAUGAACAUUGAAUCUUUGUUUAUUAAGGGCUUGUCUGCUCUGUAUUUCCUGCCUUGGUUGCUAUGAAAACAUUUAAGACAUAAGAUGAAUUCAGGUACAUAAAGAGAUGCAGGAACAGAUGGACUACAAAGGAACAAAGAUCCUAUUUUCAUUGGAAUAUCCUUAAAUUAUAAGGAAGGAAAGUAAAAUAAAAUAUACAAGAGAAUCUUUUCCUGGGCAUUUUCUGUCAUCAUUCUUUAGUAGAUAUUUUUAUACAGUGGCUAGGAUUACUACUUGAGGGAAGCAAUUACUGGCUAUUGAGAAGAUAACUGGUAAGCUAAUGUUGGUCACCCAUUCCCUGUGCCCCAAAAAUCAUUAUCUCUGAAUCUCAUGUGUGAUGGUCGAAGUGAACAAUUGCAUUCUCAUUUGACACAAGCAUCAGCACAUAUACCCUUCUCCAGGACAAGGGCAAGAAAAAAUUGAGGGGAGCAAAGAAACCCUUUUCUAACCUUAGUUGUUAGGACUGAUUGUAAGAAAAAAUACAUGUCAUUUGACAAGCUUAAGAAAGUUAAAAUCAGGGAAAAUUAUGGUUGUAGAAAAAUUUGCUCUUUGAAUUUUUUUUAAGUUUGCUUCUCUGCAAAAAAAAUUUCUAAGGUGGUUGAAUAAACUAGUUAAGCAAAGCUAGUUUUAGAAAUUGAUUAUGUGAUGGGCAGAAAUGAUAGCUUUAAAUGCAUUGACUUCAUUUUUACUGCCUGCUAAUCUGAUUGCACUAGUCAUGCAGAUUAUUUUUUCAAAAAAUUUUCCUUUUUUAAUUCAUUAAGCCUAAAUCCACUAAAACAUGUCUUUGAAGUGGAGCUCCCUAUUGGAUGCACUGAUUGAGGGUUCUAGUAUGAGCGUGUUUUAACAAAGUCCUGAUAGCAAAAGGAAUCUUGCUAUUUAGCCUAUGAAUGUAUAAACAGUAAUGCAAAUGUUUGAAUUGUACCUUGAAUUGACUUUGGAACACACAAAAACAAAAACAGCUCAAUGUCUUGAGUGCCUGUUAAAUUCUUUAUGAAUCGUACCACCUGCAUUAAACUUAUUUUUUUAAUGUG